AACUAAACAAAUCCCAUUUGAAGCUAAUAACAAGGUCCUCUGGCUUCCAAUUACCGAAGCAGACCUGCAGGUGUCAGGGACUCACUCACCGAUACAUAAGGCAAAUCCAGAGACCUCAGCUGAGGAAAUGGGCUUCACAAUGGGUCUGAAUCUUGUUCUUCUCGUCGCUAUGGUGGCCACCAAUAUCCUCGCCCUCUACCACCUCACCGCCUCCUCGUUUCAGCCUCCCAGUUCCCCGAAAACGACUCAACAUGUUCCCGAUCAGCUCCUCCAUCAACUCCAUACGAUACGCGCCACCGUGAAUCGACUCACGCGCCUUCAGCAGUCAUCUGGGAGUGACAAUCCUGCUUCCGCCACUAAACCCACUGUCCCUUCAGAUCUCUUGUUGUACUCUCGUUUGGCUCCUAUAGCUUCGGCUUGCCAUAACUACCCUGAGCUCCUGCACAAGUACAUGAGCUACACUCCUUUCUCGCUCUGCCCUUCAGAUUCCGACCUCGCUGAGACUCUCAUUCUCCGCGGGUGUCACCCUCUUCCUCGCCGGCGAUGUUUCACUAGAACCCCACAAAAACCUACUUCUUCUCUUCCACAUAACCCCUUCCCUUCGUCGCUCCCGAGCUCCAAUGUUAUCUGGGAUAAGUACUCCUGCAAAAGCUUUGAUUGCCUCAACCGCUUCAAUCCUAAUAUGGGUUUCGACCUAUCUCAAGAGAGCUCCAAAUUCAUGAGCUACAAGACCGAAUUGGAUCUCCCGCUCCCACAAUUGAUGCAAAUCGCAAAAUCGGCGAAAUCUGUUCUCCGUUUAGGUCUCGACAUCGGUGGUGGCACGGGGACCUUUGCUGCGAGAAUGAAGCUGCAUAAUGUGACGAUAGUGACUACAACCAUGAACGUGGCCGCGCCAUACAGUGAGGCCGUGGCGCUGAGGGGGUUGGUGCCGCUGCAUGUGCCGCUGCAGCAGAGGCUGCCAUUGUUCGAUGGUAUUGUGGAUCUUGUUCGAUGCGGUCGCGCAGUAAACCGGUGGAUCCCAUUAACGAUGAUGGAGUUUAUGUUCUAUGAUGUGGACAGAGUAUUGAGGGGCGGAGGGUAUCUGUGGAUAGAUCAAUUCUUCAGCAAGAGAGUGGACCUUGAAAAUGUUUAUGCCCCUUUGAUUGGAAAGUUUGGGUACAAAAAGGUGAAGUGGGCGAUCGGAAAUAAGACCGAUGCUACUGGGUUGAAGAAUGGAGAGGUUUACUUGACUGCCUUGCUUCAGAAGCCUCUAUCGAGAUGAAGUUAAAUACAGAGUUAGAUGUAUUAUGUGAGGAUGAUAUGAUCAGAAGUUAAUUUUCCUGAUCUUGCCUAUUCUAGACUUGUUCCUGGGACAAUCAACCACUUCAUGUUUACAGUUUGACGCAAUUAAUAAGGGGUUGGAUAGAUUUCCUCUCAUGGAACUCCUCACAAUUGCAUGACAUGAUUAGAUUCCUCUAACAUUAGAAAGGAACAUAACUCUAAUUUUAUCAAAUAAAAUAAUAGGUAACAAUCACAGUCGUUGCUCUUUAACCAUCCAUCUACUAUUUUUAGUGAGCUCACGUUUAUGAAGUUAGACGUAGUUCGAUUCAUGUGAGAAUAGAUCCUGGAUUAUGCUAGAAUUUUAGGUAGACAUGCAUUUCAGAUUACAGGAAGGCAGUUUGCACUAAAAUGCAUGGGCCUUACAUUCUAUGAUAAUCCUGGUAACUCUUGUUCAUGUUUUGAGCAAUUAAUGUCGAUAUCAUCUACUUACCAAAAAAAAAAAUGUCGAUAUCAUCUGGGGCUUUGCAUGUCACCCCCACACUUCACUUCUUACAGAGGAGGAAAAGAGUUCCCCCUUUAUAAGGGUCACUACUGUACGUUAGAAUAGCAUAAGCUUUAACAACUAGUUUAGCACGUGACUUUCUAUCAUUUGCUUUGACCUAAAGUUUAACAGUUUUUGAACCAAAAAAAAAAAUAAAGUCAAAAUUCACGAAACAUUUUUUGUAAUAUCAAAGUCUGCAUGAUUUUUCAGUAGGUUCUGUACCGAUGAUAAAUAAUCAUGUUAUUCUGCAACUCCCUGCAAUUUUGCUGUGCUUAGCAGUUCGUGAAGAAAUACUGAUACCUACUGGGACGGAUUGCUCUGGUUGCCGGUUGUAAACGUUGCGAAGGCAUCCACUCAAUGAAGGAAACUUAAAGGAAGAUAAAAUGGAAUUGUAUAUCGAUAGUGGUCUUGGGACAAAUGGCGAAGGAAAAUAUGCCCAAUAGACUUUUUUUUUUUUUUGCUCAUAGUUGUUUUUAUUGUUAUUUCAAUUAAUUGUUUAGAAAUAAAUUUUAGAAACGCCAAUUGCCUGGUUAGCAAUAAUUUUUUAAUACGAUGGGUAUUUUGAGGUUUGUC